ACGAACGCUGGCGGCGUGCUUAACACCUGCAAGUCGAACGGAAAGGCCCUGCUUUUGUGGGGUGCUCGAGUGGCGAACGGGUGAGUAACACGUGAGUAACCUGCCCUUGACUUUGGGAUAACUUCAGGAAACUGGGGCUAAUACCGGAUAGGAGCUCCUGCUGCAUGGUGGGGGUUGGAAAGUUUCGGCGGUUGGGGAUGGACUCGCGGCUUAUCAGCUUGUUGGUGGGGUAGUGGCUUACCAAGGCUUUGACGGGUAGCCGGCCUGAGAGGGUGACCGGCCACAUUGGGAUUGAGACAGGGCCCAGACUCCGAGGGGAGGCAGAAGGGGGGAAUAUUGCACAAGGGGGGGAGGCUGGAUGAAGCAACGCCGGGUGGGGGAGGACGGCCUUCGGUUUGUAAACCGGUUGCGCCUGUGACGAAGCGGGAGGGAGGGUAGUGGAUAAAGAAGCACGGGCAAACUACGGG
rnacentral:rRNA from 1 species